GUGGGGAAUUUUGGACAAUGGGCGCAAGCCUGAUCCAGCAAUGCCGCGUGAGUGAAGAAGGCCUUCGGGUUGUAAAGCUCUUUUGUCAGGGAAGAAACGGUGGGGGCUAAUAUCCUCCACUAAUGACGGUACCUGAAGAAUAAGCACCGGCUAACUACGUGCCAGCAGCCGCGGUAAUACGUAGGGUGCAAGCGUUAAUCGGAAUUACUGGGCGUAAAGCGUGCGCAGGCGGUUUUGUAAGUCUGAUGUGAAAUCCCCGGGCUCAACCUGGGAAUUGCAUUGGAGACUGCAAGGCUAGAAUCUGGCAGAGGGGGGUAGAAUUCCACGUGUAGCAGUGAAAUGCGUAGAGAUGUGGAGGAACACCGAUGGCGAAGGCAGCCCCCUGGGUCAAGAUUGACGCUCAUGCACGAAAGCGUGGGGAGCAAACAGG
rnacentral:rRNA from 1 species